rnacentral:tRNA from 1 species
UUAAUUGAAACCAAAAAGGGGUAUAUCACUGUUAAUGAUAAAAUUGAAAUACAAUUUCCAAUUAAA